rnacentral:rRNA from 1 species
UAAGAGAACAGUCUGGAAAGGCUGGCCACAGCAGGUGAUAGCCCUGUAUCUGAAAGCACUGGUAUUGUGAGUCCGAUGAGUAAGGCGGGACACGUGUUAUCCUGUCUGAAUAUGGGGGGACCAUCCUCCAAGGCUAAAUACUCCUGACUGACCGAUAGUGAACCAGUACCGUGAGGGAAAGGCGAAAAGAACCCCGGCGAGGGGAGUGAAAAAGAACCUGAAACCGUGUA